GGAGAGGUAUCGAAGAGGUCAUAACGAGGCGGUCUUGAAAACCGUUUGGGAGCAAUCCCACAUGGGUUCGAAUCCCAUCCUCUCCGCCA
rnacentral:tRNA from 1 species